rnacentral:lncRNA from 1 species
UUUUUUUUUUUUUUUUUUUUUGUCUUGGUUCUAAGCACUUGACAUGUGUUAACUCAUUUCAUCAUCACCCUGGCCAUAUUACACUGUGUUACUCUUAAAAUAUUUUACCAUGCACACUCUGCUAGAAUCAUCCCCCUUUUGGAGAUGAAGAAACUGAGGCACAGAGAGGCUCAAUAACUUUACCAAAGUCAGGUAGCUAGUACAUGGUAGAAUUAGGAUUCAAAUCUAGGCAGUCUGGGUAGCCUGGGUGGCUGAGCAGUUUAGCGCCGCCUUCAGCCCAGGGCCUGAUCCUGGAGACCCAGGAUUGAGUCCCACUUCAGGCUCCCUGCAUGGAGCCUGCUUCUCCCUCUGCCUCUCUCUCUCUCUCUCUCUCUCUCUCUCUCUCUGUGUUUCUCAUGAAUAAAUAAAUCUUAAAAAAAAAAAACAAAAAACAAAUCUACACAGUCUGACCACAGAGUUCAUGCUUUUUGCCCUACUGUUCUUCUGCUGAGCACAUCCUUUGCCUCUACUUCUUUGCCUAAUAUCUACUCCUCCAUGAAGACUAGGCUCAAGCAUCAUUCACUCCAGGGAAUGUCUCUUUACCCCCUUCCCCAAUCUGUCUCCCAGCCCCCAGUUCUGCUGCUACCAAUAUUUAGUAUGUAGUAGAUGCCUGAUAAAUUUUUUAAAAAGAGCAUUAUGAGGGGUGCCUGAGUGGCUCAGUCAGUUAAGCAUCUGACUCUUGGUUUUGGCUCAGGUCAUGAUCUCAAGGUCGUGAGAUGGUGUCCCCUGCCCGGGCUUUGCACUCAGCAUGGAGUCUGCCUGAGAUUCUCUCAAGCAGAGAAUCUCUCCCUUUGCUCCUCCCCCUGCUCUCUCUCAAAUAAACAAACAAACAAACAAAUGCAAGCAUUGUUGAGAUAGAAUUCACAUGCCAUACGAUUUAAAAUGUAGAGUUGAAUAUAAUUGGGAUUUUUUUAAAGUGUAUUCACAGGACUGUGCAACCAUCACCAGAAUCCAGAAUCUAAUUUUAGAACACUUUGUCCCUCCUAAGGGAAACCCCAUUAGAAGUCAAACUCCCUCUUCCUCCUCCCCAACCCUAAGCAACCACUAAACUACCAUCUCUAAAAAUUUGCGAUUCAUAUCAAUGGAAUUCUAUUAUAUAUGGGGGAUUUUUUGAGACUGGCUUCUUCCAUUUAGUAUGCUUUCCAUUUUUCCAUGCUGUACAAUGUGUCAGUACC